GAUGAAGAACGCAGCGAAAUGCGAUAAGUAAUGCGAAUUGCAGAAUUCAGUGAAUCAUCGAAUCUUUGAACGCACAUUGCGCCCGCUAGUAUUCUGGCGGGCAUGCCUGUCUGAGCGUCAUUUCAACCCUCAUGCCCCUAGGGCGUGGUGUUGGGGAUCGGCCAAAGCCCGCGAGGGACGGCCGGCCCCUAAAUCUAGUGGCGGACCCGUCGUGGCCUCCUCUGCGAAGUAGUGAUAUUCCGCAUCGGAGAGCGAUGAGCCCCUGCCGUUAAACCCCCAACUUUCCAAGGUUGACCUCAGAUCAGGUAGGAAUACCCGCUGAACUUAAGCAUAUCAAUAAGCGGAGGA
rnacentral:misc_RNA from 1 species